UACAGAGGUCCCAAGCGUUGUUCGGAUUCACUGGGCGUAAAGGGUGCGUAGGUGGUGAGGUAAGUCCGAUGUGAAAGCUCCGAGCUCAACUCGGAAAUUGCAUUAGAAACUACCUUGCUAGAGGGUUGGAGGGGGGACUGGAAUUCUCGGUGUAGCAGUGAAAUGCGUAGAUAUCGAGAGGAACACCAGUGGCGAAGGUGAGUCCCUGGACAACUCCUGACACUGAGGCACGAAAGCUAGGGGAGCAAACAGG
rnacentral:rRNA from 1 species